GACGAACGCUGGCGGCGUGCCUAAUACAUGCAAGUCGAACGCAUUUUCUUUCACCGUAUCUUGCUACACCGAAAGAAACUGAGUGGCGAACGGGUGAGUAACACGUGGGUAACCUGCCCAUCAUCGGGGGAUAACACUUGGAAACAGGUUCUAAUACCGCAUAAUUCCAUUUACCGCAUGGUAAAUGGAUGAAGGCGCUUUUGCGUCACUGAUGGAUGGACCCUCGGUGGAUUAGCUAGUUGGUGGGGUAACGGCAUACCAAGGCUGCGAUGCAUAGCCGAACUGAGAGGGUGAGCGGCCACACUGGGACUGAGACACGGCCCAGACUCCGACGGGAGGCAGCAGUAGGGAAUCUUCGGCAAUGGACGGAAGUCUGACCGAGAAACGCCGCGGGAGUGAAGAAGGUUUUCGGAACGUAAAACUCUGUUGUUAGAGAAGAACAAGGAUGAGAGUGGAAAGUUCAUCACUUGACGGUAUCUAACCAGAAAGCCACGGCUAAAUACGUG
rnacentral:rRNA from 1 species